rnacentral:rRNA from 1 species
GACGAACGCUGGCGGCGUGCCUAAUACAUGCAAGUAGAACGCUGAAGCGAGGAGCUUGCUCUUCUUGGAUGAGUUGCGAACGGGUGAGUAACGCGUAGGUAACCUGCCUUGUAGCGGGGGAUAACUAUUGGAAACGAUAGCUAAUACCGCAUAACAAUGGAUGACACAUGUCAUUUAUUUGAAAGGGGCAAUUGCUCCACUACAAGAUGGACCUGCGUUGUAUUAGCUAGUAGGUGAGGUAAUGGCUCACCUAGGCGACGAUACAUAGCCGACCUGAGAGGGUGAUCGGCCACACUGGGACUGAGACACGGCCCAGACUCCUACGGGAGGCAGCAGUAGGGAAUCUUCGGCAAUGGGGGCAACCCUGACCGAGCAACGCCGCGUGAGUGAAGAAGGUUGUCGGAUCGUAAAGCUCUGUUGUAAGUCAAGAACGGGUGUGAGAGUGGAAAGUUCACACUGUGACGGUAGCUUACCAGAAAGGGACGGCUAACUACGUG